rnacentral:rRNA from 1 species
GACGAACCGAGCGAACGUUGUUCGGAAUCACUGGGCUUAAAGGGCGCGUAGGCGGGUUCGCAAGUCUGUGGUGAAAUCCUCCGGCUCAACCGGAGAACUGCCUCGGAUACUGCGGGUCUCGAGGGUGAUAGGGGUAUGCGGAACUAUCGGUGGAGCGGUGAAAUGCGUUGAUAUCGAUAGGAACUCCGGUGGCGAAGGCGGCAUACUGGAUCACUUCUGACGCUGAGGCGCGAAAGCCAGGGGGAGCAAACGGGG